rnacentral:tRNA from 1 species
GGUUGAUAGCUCCGGUCUUGAAAACCGGUAUAGUUCGAAACAAAGAACUAUCGAGGGUUCGAAUCCCUCUCUCUCCUUUUGCUCGACGAAUGA